rnacentral:rRNA from 1 species
GACGAACGCUGGCGGCGUGCUUAACACAUGCAAGUCGAGCGAAAAGGCCCUGCGUUUGCGGGGUGCUCGAGUGGCGCGCGCGGGAGUAACACAUGAGUAACAUGCCCCUGUCUUUGGGGUAAAUUCAGGGGAAUGGGGCGAAUACACCGUAGGAGCUCCUGAUGCGUGGGGGGGGUUGGAAAGUUUCGGCGGUUGGGGAUGGACUCGCGGCUUAUGAGCUUGUUGGUGGGGUAGUGGCGUACAACGUCUUUGAAGGGUAGCCGGCCUUAGAGGCUUACCGGCGACAUUGGGCCUGCGAUAGGGCCCAGACUCCUAUCGUCGGCAGCAGGGGGGAACAUUGCACAGUGGGGGGAAGCGUGAGGCAGCAACGCUGCGUGCGGGAUGACGGCCUUCGGGUUGAAAACCGCUGUCGCCGUUGACGAAGAGGUAGUGACGGUAAUGGGUAAAGAAGCACCGGCUAACUACGUG